rnacentral:rRNA from 1 species
GAUGAACGCUGGCGGCGUGCUUAACACAUGCAAGUCGAACGGUGAAGGCGGAGCUUGCUCUGCUGGAUCAGUGGCGAACGGGUGAGUAACACGUGAGCAAUCUGCCCCUGACUCUGGGAUAAGCGCUGGAAACGGCGUCUAAUACUGGAUACGAGCUGCGAAGGCAUCUUCAGCAGCUGGAAAGAAUUUCGGUCAGGGAUGAGCUCGCGGCCUAUCAGCUUGUUGGUGAGGUAAUGGCUCACCAAGGCGUCGACGGGUAGCCGGCCUGAGAGGGUGACCGGCCACAGGGAGGGUGAGACGCGGCAGACACUCCUGGGAGGGAGAGGUGGGGGAAAUAUUGCAAAGGGGGCGAGCGCCAGGUAGAGAAGCGGCGCGUGGGGGACCGGGGCCUGCGGGUUAAACCUCUUUUAGCAGGGAAGAAGCGAAAGUGACGGUACCUGCAGAAAAAGCGCCGGCUAACUACGUG